UACGGGGGGUGCGAGCGUUGUCCGGAAUCACUGGGCGUAAAGGGCGCGUAGGUGGUUUGAUAAGGGUGUGGUGAAAGUCCGGGGCUCAACCCCGGAUCUGCCGUGCCGACUGUCAAACUCGAGGGCUGUAGAGGCAGACGGAAUUCCGGGUGUAGCGGUGGAAUGCGUAGAGAUCCGGAGGAAGACCGGUGGCGAAGGCGGUCUGCUGGGCAGUUUCUGACACUGAUGCGCGGCAGCGUGGGGAGCAAACAGG
rnacentral:rRNA from 1 species